rnacentral:lncRNA from 1 species
UUUUUUUGAAAUUGUCAUAUUGGAUUUAUUUAUUUUGGAGGGACUGGUUAUUUCAAAAAGACAUUUAUCAAUUUUCAGUAUCAAAACAGUUACACUAUUGGUUUUUUUUUCCUCCCAAUUGGUCCCCAAAGAGGCCACACCAAAGGAGAGAACAUUUUAAGCCAAUUAAGCUGCAGGAUGCACCCCUAACAGACCUCACUGAAACCUCAUCAAAAAAGGGGGAUUGGGUAGGGAAAGAAACUUUAAAAGAUCAGCACACUGCUAGCCCACAGACUGUAGAGAGCUCUCACAGGCAGAGGGGUGACCAGUUUGCCUCAACCCCAAAGAAGCAAAGUUCCAAAAUAUAAAAAUUUACAAGUUUUGUACAUACGCUUUUCAAGAUUUCUCCAGCACUAACCGAUACAAAGCACAGUGAGAUGGCACUUUUAGAGACAGCAGCUUCAGACCCAGAAAAGGGUGAUGAGAUGAGUUUCAUAUGGCUAAAUCAGUGGCAAAACAUAAUUUUCUUUCCUUUCUUUCAAGGAGGCAGGAGAGCAAAUAAGUGGUCACUUCAAUAUAAGGGGCACAUGAUCCAUUCUGUGAGCAGUUGGGAACAGGGUAGAGCUGGGACAAGGAUUUGGUCUCAGAGGUUUUACCAUCUUAAUUGUUUGGUCACUUCUGAUGAAAAAAGAAAAAAAAAAAGUUGUCCAAAGAUACCGUAAAGCUGAAAACCUGAACAGCAUUUUUUUUUUUUUUUUUGGCUAACUCCUUCUGGAAUCAUCUUUCUGCUUUGGCAGGUACUUUUUACAGGGCAAUGAGGUUUCCCCAAACGGAGCCUUUCUCUGGGCUGCUAGGCUCUCAGUAAGGCAGGCCCAAACCUUUUCCCUUUCUCUCUGGAGAAGGCAAUAUGCAUUAAGCUGAAAUGUUACCUUCCAAAAGUGAGAAAGGGAUUAGACUGCUGCUUCAGUUCUACGGAAUUAUCUGGAAUGUUUUUUUUACAAAUGGUUGUAACAUCAAGAACAAAAAAGGUAAUUACAAAAUGUGUACAUCACAACAUGCUUUUAAAGACACUUCACAUUGUGCUCACAUUCCCUUAAACGUUGUUCCCAAAGGUGCUCAGCCUCUAGCCCAACUGGAAUCUCUGGGGAGAGAUCCUUACAGUUUUUUAGUUGCUAAGUCAUGUCCGACUCUUUGUGACCCCAUGAAUUUCAGUAUACAAAUUUUCCCUCGCCAUCACUGUUUCAUGGAGUUUGCUCAAAUUCAUGUCCAUUGAGUCUGUGAUGCCAUCCAACCAUCUCAUCCUCUGUCACCC